rnacentral:rRNA from 1 species
CACGGACCAAGGAGUUUAUCGUGUACGCAAGUCAUUGGGUGUAUAAAACCCAUAGGCGAAAUGAAAGUAAAGAGUAGAGCCUUGUAAAAAAAAGUUUACUUUUUUUUACAUUCUCUCUUAAGGGAAGAUGGAAAUAUCAAUAUGCUUUAUGUGUAUGAAAAUUUCCCGCACUCCCAGGGCGCUUGUAUCUUGCUUUGCGAGUCGAUGCGCACCUAGAGCGUACACGCUGAUACCCGAAAGAUGGUGAACUAUGCCUGGCCAGGACGAAGCCAGGGGAAACCCUGGUGGAGGUCCGCAGCGAUUCUGACGUGCAAAUCGAUCGUCGGAGCUGGGUAUAGGGGCGAAAGACCAAUCGAACCAUCUAGUAGCUGGUUCCCUCUGAAGUUUCCCUCAGGAUAGCUUGCACUCGGUUGAGAAGAGUCUCAUCCGGUAGAGCGAAUGAUUAGAGGCAUUGGGGUCGAAACGACCUCAACCUAUUCUCAAACUCCAAAUAGAUGAGAUCCCCGGCUUUCUUAAAAGUGAAGCCGUGGGCAAUAGGAUCAGAGUGCCAAGUGGGCCAAUUUUGGUAAGCAGAACUGGCGCU